UACGUAGGGACCGAGCGUUGUCCGGAAUCAUUGGGCGUAAAGAGCGUGUAGGCGGCCACUUAAGUCCUGCGUGAAAUCUUGCGGCUCAACCGCAAGCGGUCGUGGGAAACUGGGUGGCUAGAGUGCGGGAGAGGAAAGCGGAAUUCCUGGUGUAGCGGUGAAAUGCGUAGAUAUCAGGAGGAACACCGGCGGUGUAGACGGCUUUCUGGACCGUAGCUGACGCUGAGACACGAAAGCGUGGGUAGCAAACAGG
rnacentral:rRNA from 1 species